CUUUUGAACAGUCACUGAACACACAAAGUCCUCACCAUGAAUUGGAGCUGGAUUAUUCUUUUUCUUAUAUCAGUAACUACAGGGGUUGAAUCCCAGGUCCAGCUGCUGCUGUCUGGAGCUGAGCUAGGGAAACCAAGGUUCUCAGUGAAGCUGUCCUGCAAGGCUUCAGGCUACACCUUCACUGACUAUACUGUGAACUGGGUGAAGCAGAGGCCUGGUCAGGGACUGGAGUGGAUUGGAAGAAUUUAUCCUGUAAGUGGUAAUACUGACUAUGCUCAGAAGUUCCAGAGCAAGGCCACACUCUCUGUAGACAAAUCCUCCAGCACAGCCUAUAUGAAGCUCAGCAGCCUAACAUCUGAGGACUCUGCAGUCUAUUUCUGUGCAAGAUACAGUGUUGCAACCACAUCCUGAGUGAGUCAGAAACCCUGGAGAAGCAGGAAGUUGCACUGGGACUGAAAUGACAGAGAAGAUUGGCUUGAAGACUUUCACAAAAAUAAUUAUCCUGAGUAUCUUUUUGUCUGUCAAUUCACACAGUCCCCCAGGAUCUUUACGCCCUAGUACUC